UUUCGACCUUGGUGAAUCUGAUAAUUAUGUGUCUUGCGGUUGAUCUUCUCAUGGAGUAUUUCAGUGGGGUUCUUUGUAUUUCCUGAAGUUCAAUGUUAGCCUGUCUCGCUAGGUUGGGGAGGUUCUGUUGGGUAAUAUCCUGAAGUGUGUUUUCCAGCUUGGUACCAUUCUCCUCCUCUCUUUCAGGUACAUUAAUCUGUUGUAGCUUCAGUCUUUUUACAUAGUCCCAUAUUUCUCAGAGGUUUUGUUCAUUCCUUUUCAUUCUUUUUUCUCUAAUCUUGUUUGCAUGCCUUAUUUCAGCAAGACAGUCUUCACAUUCUAAUAUUCUUUCUUUUGCUUAAUCGAUUUGGCUGUUGAUACUUGUGAAUGCUUCAAAAGGUUCCCAUGCUGUGUUUUUCAGCUCCAUCAGGUCAUUUCUGUUACUCUCUGAAUGGGUUAUUCUACUUAGCAGCUUUUCUAACCUUUUAUCAAGGUUCUUUACUCCUUUGCAUUGGGUUCGAACAUGCUCCUUUACCUCAGCAAAGUUUGUUGUUUCCCACCUUCUAAGGCCUGCUUUUGUCAAGUCAUCCAUCUCAUCCUCUGCCCAGUUCUGAGCCCUUGCUGGAGAGGCAUUGUGAUCAUUUGGAGGAGAAGAGGCACUCUCUCAUUUUGGGUUUUCAUCAUUUUUUUGUUGAUUCUUUCUCACCUUCUUGAGUUUGCCUAGUUUUGAUCUUUGAGGCUGCUAUCCCUUGGAUGAGGUUUUGUGGGGGCUUUUGUUGUUGAUGCUGUUGUUGUUGCUUUCUGUUUGUUUGCUUUUCUUUCAAUAGUCAGGUCCCUCUUCUGUAGGGCUGCUGCAGUUUGCUGGGGGCUCACUUCAGGCUCUAUUCAUCUGGUUUGCUCCUGCUCCUGGAGAUGUCAUUCAAAGAUGCUGGAGGACAUCAAAGAUGGGUGCCUGCUCUUUCCUCUGGGAUCUCUGACCUUAAGGUGCACUGACCUGAUGCCAGUAGGGACACUCUUGUGUAGGGUGUCUGACAAUCCCUGAUGGGGGGGCGUCUCACCCAGUUGGGUGGCACAGGGAGCAUGACUCAUUUUAUGAUGCACUUUGGCCAUCCCUUGUUAGAGGAGGUGUGCAGUACUGCACACUCACCUUGGCUGGCUGGAUUUCUCAGAGCUAGCAGGAGGAAAGACUAAGUCUGUUGGUCUGCAGAGACAAUGGCCACGCCUCCCACUAGGGGCUCAGGCCUAGGGAGAUCAGAACUCUAUCCCUGAGCCCCUGGCUGGAGUUGGAGUUUCUCGGGGAGGCCCUGCAGCCCCAGCAUUAGCUGCUGCCCCUCCUGCAAGGAGCUCAGAUGACAUAGACAGCAGGUAGCUGCAGCAGUGGUGAUGGCCACUCCCCUUGUCCCCCAUCCCCAACCCAGGGAACUUGGAGGGCUUAAGCCAGUUCUAGCCAAGUGAGAGUCUCAGCAGCUCGGUGGUUGGGACCCAAGACCCCAGUGGCAUGGGCUCCCCCUGAGUGGGAUCUUCGGAUCCGUGGGUUGAACAGUUCCAUGGAAAAAGCAUGGUUUCCCAGGUUAUGUAGCAUGCUCACUUCACCACUUCCCUUGGCUGGGGGUAGGGAAUCCCCUACCCCAUGUGGCUCUG
ensembl:lncRNA